AGGCUGUCCACCCAUCCUUACUGCACAGAUACAUACUGUGAGGUGUAAACGCCACAACUGGUACUGUUAACUCAGAGGGAAAGAAAGUCUGACAGAUAGUCUGAGAAUCAUCCCACCUGCUGCCUACCUGAACCAAGAACCAGACCCUGGAGCAGGACUGUGCCGGUACUAUUUGGCUGCAGAUCUACUGGGAUCCUGGUAUUGAGAGAGACCUAACAGGUAAGGCUAUCAGAAAAGCCCUCCUUCAAUCAAGCUUCCCUCUUCUCAUUCAAAUUCAGAUGUCUUAAGAAAAUACAGAGGAAUUUCCUUUGGCAGGAAUACUGGAAGAAAACAAACAAGAAUAGUGUAAAAUAGGAUUGGCACAGCUGCCCUUGGGCUGGGGUUUUUUAUGUGUUUCUGAUUAUUUUUCUGGUUUUGUUCUCCACUUCAGAAUCUUUCUUUUCUGCAUGUCUUCUGCAUUCAGUCUUGUCCAUACUGGAGUGGUAGAGCAAGAGGGCUUGUCUGCAGCUGAAGUUUUACUGCUUUAUUCUGCUGGCGUAGUUAAGGCAAAUCCUCCACCAUCUCUUGCUGCUUCGUAAUGCAGACUGUGUUAUAUCAGUAAGAAGGUGCUUGUACAGAUACUUAUGAUGCUCUGUAAAGCAAACUGACAUCUAUUAUUUGAUGCCAUAUUUAUCCAGUAAAACUGUGCACUAAGACUUCUAGUGAUAUAAUUACUUAAUUUUAAAAACCAUAUUUCAAAUAAAACAAUUGUAUACUGGGUAAAUGUUAAGAGCAGAAGAGAU